GCUUGCUUUUACAAACUCAUACACCAAAAUUAGAACAAUACAAAGGAGAUUAAUAUGGGCCUUAUACAAAGAUGAUGCAAAUUCGUGAAAUGUUCCAUAUUUUA
rfam:Mus musculus chromosome 10, GRC primary reference assembly.